GUAACUUGUAAACAGACCACACUAAAUUCAGCCAGCUUGUCCAGAUGGGUGAUGCAAAGACCUAGAAAAGUUUGGUGACCAGCUACUUGUAUCCAAGGUCUUUGAGGGCAUGUAUUCAAAACUGUGUUUGUGGAAGCUGAUGUCAUUUUUAAAGUUUUAAACAGCAUUUGGUAGUGAGACUUACAGGUAGUGUCCAACCUUGUCCUUGACAAAUAUUCCACUUUUUAAUGCUGUCAGUGUCAUGACCUUGGCAAGUGUGUUACCUUGACCAGUGUGUUGAUUUUUCAGACUUGAGUGUCAUUUCCCUGUAUCCUACUUCCUUCCCACCUGUUGACUAUGUCUUUUAGGGAAAAACGGGGCAGGGGAGGGAGAGCCUGAGGAAGAGAGGAGGAUAAGACAACAGUGUUGGAAAAGCAAAUGUGCAAUUUGUGAAAGGACAUUCACAGAAUGUCUCAGUUUAACUACGUGGAGAAGAUGGCAAGCACCGCUCCCUGGGACCAGGUUGUUUGUCUUCUAGAGUUUUAUUGACUUAGAUGGAACAGUCUUUGAAGGCAGCUAGGAGGUGUAUGAGUCUGCCCAAUGUCCAGUCCCAGACCAUACCCUAUGUCAGACCAUACCCUAUGUUUGUAUUAACUCAUUCUAACCCCAGAAGCUUUCGUGAGUGGCUGCCACGGUCAGAAAAAAGGCAAAACAGGCAAUUUGCAAAAGGCAGCCCCUCCCCCACCAUAAUAGCUUUCCUGUUAAAUGCUACUUGUAAAAUGUAUUUGGCUCCAUGCAAAUUUGAAUAAUUGGAUUUGGAAAUUCAUAGAAAGAACAACUGAUGCCAAGCAGAGAUUGGAAAGAUUUUAUAUUGUCCAAGACCUGAGUCCUUUCUGUCUCCAGGAUCAUGGGCUCUGAGAAACAAACCAAGGUAUUUCAUGGUGCCUCAGCUUUAAGGAAAUUUUAAUCUAGAAUUUGAUAUAAAAACAGAUGUUGGCCUAGUUUCUGUCUCCAGGAUUAGUCACUGCCAAACACCCUUUCUCGGCUCAAGACCUAGAGAGGAUGGUUUGAACUCUUUGACGCUGCAUCAGAUUGGACAUCAGGCAAGACUUAUACACCAGGAAUGAAAAUGGAACUGCCAUGUGGGAGCUCCCUGGUAUUCGUCUUAGCUGUAUUCCCUCAUUUUCUGUGUACAACAACAAUCAUCUGAGGAUGCGGGUACUGCCCUGAGGCCCAGUGGUUAACGCUGUGAUUUUGACUUGAUCACAAAAGCUCCUAGGUGGGCAGAUGACUGAGUGGUGGACAAAGUUCCAAAGCUGUACACUUUCUCAAGUUUCUUAAGAAAUAAAAUCAUGUGAUCCAUUAGAAGCACAAGAGAAUUAUUUAAUGCCCAGAGAGAAACAGGCCUACAGGGAACCUACCUGGGGCCUGUGGGAUAGUUUCAAGAACUGGCAACAUGGUUUGUAAGCUCCUUCCUGCUAAAUCCCUUAAAACCAACCUUCUUUCCUCCUAGUUAGGAGACUAAAAAGAGGAAAUAGAUGGCAUGACAAAAAAAAAAAAAAUGCCUAGCUGUGGUGAUGAUUAGGAAAGUUCUAGCCUGAGGCCUAAUCUGUCAGUCACAGAGCUGGAAAAGCACCUUUUAAAGCCCAUGUUUUAUCCUCUGACUUCAGACCACACUGUACUAUGAAUCUCUCUGGCUCAUUACUUCUGAGAACAGAGAGGCUAUAAUUCUGUAUCCUCUUUCUGUCCAACAUAAAACACUGACCCUUUAGCUUAUCCAGGCCUUGCCCACCUAUAGUGGCCAAAGAAAAAGAUGAAGGUGAACGUGUCUUAUCCCUUUCAGUGAUGAUCUUUCUGGAAAAUCCACUCCAAUACCUCAUCGUUUUGAUACCUUUUGAAUUCCCAUCUGGACUGUCAUGAUAAUGCCAUAUAUCUAACUGGAUUGACUGUUAAGAGCAUGUUAGGGCCGCAGACAGUGUUGAAUCUUCAAGUCAUUCACUGUAUGGUCAAGAGCUGAAUAAAGUUCUACAUUGAA
ensembl:lncRNA